rnacentral:rRNA from 1 species
AUGAACGCUGGCGGCGUGCCUAAUACAUGCAAGUCGAGCGAACAGACGAGGAGCUUGCUCCUCUGACGUUAGCGGCGGACGGGUGAGUAACACGUGGAUAACCUACCUAUAAGACUGGGAUAACUUCGGGAAACCGGAGCUAAUACCGGAUAAUAUAUUGAACCGCAUGGUUCAAUAGUGAAAGACGGUUUUGCUGUCACUUAUAGAUGGAUCCACGCCGCAUUAGCUAGUUGGUAAGGUAACGGCUUACCAAGGCAACGAUGCGUAGCCGACCUGAGAGGGUGAUCGGCCACACAGGAACUGAGACACGGUCCAGACUCCUACGGGAGGCAGCAGUAGGGAAUCUUCCGCAAUGGGCGAAAGCCUGACGGAGCAACGCCGCGUGAGUGAUGAAGGUCUUCGGAUCGUAAAACUCUGUUAUUAGGGAAGAACAAAUGUGUAAGUAACUAUGCACGUCUUGACGGUACCUAAUCAGAAAGCCACGGCUAACUACGUG